rnacentral:rRNA from 1 species
UACGAAGGGUGCAAGCGUUACUCGGAAUUACUGGGCGUAAAGCGUGCGUAGGCGGUUCGUUAAGUUCGUUGUGAAAGCCCCGGGCUCAACCUGGGAAUGGCAAUGGAAACUGGCGGGCUGGAGUAUGGCAGAGGGGGGUGGAAUUCCGCGUGUAGCAGUGAAAUGCGUAGAGAUGCGGAGGAACACCGAUGGCGAAGGCAGCCCCCUGGGCCAAUACUGACGCUCAGGCACGAAAGCGUGGGGAGCAAACAGG